rnacentral:misc_RNA from 1 species
UACGGAGGGUGCAAGCGUUAAUCGGAAUUACUGGGCGUAAAGCGCGCGUAGGUGGCUUGAUAAGCCGGUUGUGAAAGCCCCGGGCUCAACCUGGGAACGGCAUCCGGAACUGUCAAGCUAGAGUGCAGGAGAGGAAGGUAGAAUUCCCGGUGUAGCGGUGAAAUGCGUAGAGAUCGGGAGGAAUACCAGUGGCGAAGGCGGCCUUCUGGACUGACACUGAGGUGCGAAAGCGUGGGUAGCAAACAGG